AUGAGGACAGUGCAUUUCCUGAAGUUCCUCCCUGUGACUGUCAGUGCCUGCAGACUUCCAGGCCCCCUGUCCAGGCAUCAUUGACAGCAAACAAACGAGACCAGAGUGUCCAGGACCUGGCAGUCCCUCCCUGCCCUGAUGCUGCUGCUGGCCCUGCUGCUGCCCCUUCUGUGGGCGGGGUCCCUGCAGGAGGAACCAAGCUACUGGCUGCGGGUGCAGAAGUUGGUGACAGUGCAGGAGACCCUGUGUGCCCUGGUGUCCUGCUCCUUCUCCUACCCCCAGGACCGCUGGAACCACUCGACCCCUGCUUAUGGCUACUGGUACCAGCACAAGGAGGGUCCCCAAAACUCAUCAUACAACAAAUGAACUUGUGGCCACAAAUGACCCACGCAAGAAAGCUGGACUGAGAAGCAAAGCUCGUUUCCAGCUGCUCGGGGACCCCAGGGCCUACAACUGCUCCCCCUGAGGAUCGCAGGGUGCCCAGCAGGGGGACAGUGGAAGUUACUAUUUUCGGGUGGAGAGGAGUCAUGAAAUACAAUUAUGUGAGACUGGUGCUGACUGUGAUUGUCACAGGUGAGGGACAGUCAGCGGGAAGGAAGGGGCAGAGGGAUGGGGAGGACCCUUAGGGGCAGAAGGGUCUCCCUGUCCUGGUGGGGAAGGGUCAGCAGAGUGUGGGACCGCUCAGGACUGAGAUGUCUGUGUCAGACACACACGGGGUCCUCUCUGGGGCCUGUCCUGUCCUUCUCUCUUUCCCCAGAGCUCACACUGAGACACCCUAGAGCAUCCACAUGCCGGAGCUGCUGGUGUCUGGUCACUCCAGUCGCCUGGAGUGCUCCAUGCCCGGGGCCUGCAGUGGGGCCCUGGCACCCACGCUUCUUCUGGACCGGGGCUGCCCUGAGACCCCUCGGGUUGGGGCUUGGGCAUUCACAGAUCUUCGGAGAUCCUGCCUCCACCACUCCCUCAGGACCACGGCACCCACCUCACCUGUCGGGUGACUCUCCCUCAGGCUGGAGUGACCAGGGAGAGGACUGUCCAGCUCAGUGUGUCCUAUCCUCCUCAGAGCCUGACCCUCAGUGUCUCCACAGCAGAUGACAGAGCCCGUGUCCUGUGUGGAUUUAAGCCUGGCGGCUCCAUCCCAAGGUACUGGGGGCACAGAGAGGAGCAGGGGCAUCGGAUCCUCAGGAGCCUUGGAAGAAUUGAUGGUUGGAUUUUGGAUUUUUGAGCAAAAGGAGGCUCAGCUGGUGGUGAGUAGUUCCAGCAGGAGAGAAAUGUGGACGAGGAUAAAUGGCUCAAAGGCAUCAUGGGGCACUCAAGAUGUCCCUAAACUGGUGGGUGGAUGGAGGCAGAGAAUGUGGCAGAUUCACACAAUGCGUUAUAAUGCAGCCAGGGAAGCUGAACCCCAUUCUGACUGGAGCUGCACACAGGUGACCCCUGGCAAAGAGGUGCUGGCGAGACAAGCCAGAUAGGAAAGCCCAAACGGCCUGAGAAAAUCUGCAGACAGAGUGGGUUGGUGUUUGCUUGGGGCUGGGGAGGCAAGGACUGGGGAGACAGCUAGGGGUGCUGGCCUUCUCUCUGGGGUGACUCAGACCCUCUAAGAUUGUGAUGGCUGAUGCCCAGCUCUGUGAAUGGACAAAAGCCACUGAAGUGCGCACUUUAAACUGUGUCUACAUGGAGUUACAUGAUGUGUGAAUUUUACAUAGGUAUAGACAAGGACUUUCUGAACAGAACCCCAGUUGAAUAAGAAAUAGUUCCAAUAAUCAACAAAUGGGAUCAUAUUAAAUUAAAGAGCUUCUGCACAGCAAAAUAAACAACCAACAGAGAAAAGACAGAUGGGAAACAAUGUUACAGAGACAGGGGACUCAUAUCCAGACUAUAUAAAGAACUAAAAAAAUUGGAGCCCCCCAAAAUAAAAAACCAAAUCAUAAAAUGGUCAAAUGAAAUGAAUAGAUACUUAACAGAAGAAGGAAAAAAGGCCAAAAAUACAUGCUUAAAUCCUCAGCGUCACAGGCAAUUAGAAAUGCAAAUAAAAACAACAAACAGGGAUUCCAUCUUACUCCAGAAGGAAUGGCCAUCAUUAAGAAAUCAAACAACAACAGAAGGCUGAGGAGUAUGCCAGAAAAGGGGCCCUUUC
ensembl:lncRNA